UACGGGAGGCAGCAGUGGGGAAUCUUGCACAAUGGAGGAAACUCUGAUGCAGCGAUGCCGCGUGAGUGAAGAAGGCCUUUGGGUUGUAAAGCUCUUUCGUCGGGGAAGAAAAUGACUGUACCCGAAUAAGAAGGUCCGGCUAACUUCGUGCCAGCAGCCGCGGUAAUGCAGCCAGCAGCCGCGGUAAUAC
rnacentral:rRNA from 1 species